UAACUUUCCACAGGAUGCUGAUGAUGAUAUCCUGACAGAACAACGUCAGUCCCACAGCAACAAUCCAGAUGUUUCUCCAUUACAGGAUGCUGAUGACAAUAUCCUGACAGAACAACGUCCGUCCCACAGCAACAAUCCAGGUGUUUCUCCAUCUCAGAAUACCACUGGAACCAACUAUUCCACAAUUUCUGGAAACCGUGGAACCACUGCAACCCAUCGUUCCACAGCCUCUAGAACCACAAGAAGCCAUCUUUCCGAAGCCUCUGGAACAGCUGGAACCCAUCGUUCCACAGCCUUUGGAACCACUAGAAGCCAUCUUUCCACAGCCUCUGGAACCGCUGGAGCCCGUCUUUCAACAGCCUCUAGAACCAGUAGAAUCCAUCUU